rnacentral:misc_RNA from 1 species
CCUCACCGACAUCAGCCCGACUCCGAACCGAGCCACGGGGGCACAGUCGAAAACCGAACCGACGGUCGUUCGCACGAAGCGUAGAACGCUUUUUUUGUGGUGCUCCGAGGCCGAGGCCCCGUACCCACAUGAUAUUCCAUACUCGAGAGACCGAGCGACCCGUCAUGGUUCGUCGGCCUGGACGCCGUUUCACAGGCGAACAGGGCGCGAGACACGACGUGCGCUAAUUGGCCCACCCCGCGCCACCAGACCCUUUUCGGGCAGCAACACAGGACGAGAAUGAGAAGAUGUUAGUCGAUAGAAUGCCCUAACGAUAGGUAUGCAGYACAGGAAAACCGAUGUCGGACGAGCACUUGCUCGUGCCAACAACUGAAGAGACACGGACGGGAUGCCGUCGCUGCCCGAGCAGGGAUCCGACAUGCCGUU